rnacentral:rRNA from 1 species
ACUCCUGCGGGAGGCAGCAGUGGGGAAUAUUGCACAAUGGGCGCAAGCCUGAUGCAGCCAUGCCGCGUGUAUGAAGAAGGCCUUCGGGUUGUAAAGUACUUUCAGCGGGGAGGAAGGCGAUAAGGUUAAUAACCUUGUCGAUUGACGUUACCCGCAGAAGAAGCACCGGCUAACUCCGUGCCAGCAGCCGCGGUAAUACGGAGGGUGCAAGCGUUAAUCGGAAUUACUGGGCGUAAAGCGCACGCAGGCGGUCUGUCAAGUCGGAUGUGAAAUCCCCGGGCUCAACCUGGGAACUGCAUUCGAAACUGGCAGGCUAGAGUCUUGUAGAGGGGGGUAGAAUUCCAGGUGUAGUGGUGAAAUGCGUAGAGAUCUGGAGGAAUACCGGUGGCGAAGGCGGCCCCCUGGACAAAGACUGACGCUCAGGUGCGAAAGCGUGGGGAGCAAACAGGAUUAGAUACCCUAGUAGUCCCAUG